rnacentral:rRNA from 1 species
AGGAAUAUUGCUCAAUGGGAGAAAUCCUGAAGCAGCAACGCCGCGUGGAGGAUGAAGGGUCUAUGACUUGUAAACUCCUGUAAAGAAGGAAAAAAUUCCCAUUUGAUGGGAGAUGACGGUACCAGAGGAGGAAGCCACGGCUAACUACGUGCCAGCAGCCGCGGUAAUACGUAGGUGGCAAGCGUUGUCCGGAUUUACUGGGCGUAAAGGAUGCGUAGGCGGAUACUUAAGUCAGAUGUGAAAAUCCCGGGCUUAACUUGGGAACUGCUUUUGAAACUGGGUAUCUAGAGUGCGGGAGAGGAAAGUGGAAUUCCUAGUGUAGCGGUGAAAUGCGUAGAGAUUAGGAAGAACACCAGUGGCGAAGGCGACUUUCUGGACCGUAACUGACGCUGAGGCAUGAAAGCGUGGGGAGCAAACA